CUCACAGGCUGGCAGGCAGGCAACUGCAAUUACAUUACACAGAAAAAAGCCCUUUUUAGGGCUAGAACAUCAGUCUGCUUUUUUUUUUCUGUGUAAUGUAAUUGCAAUUGCCUGCCUGCCAGCCUGUGAA